GGGCCGAGGGGCCGAGGCAGCGUGCUGGCUGCAGCGUGUUGGCUGCGCAUGAGGCCGAGGGGCCGAGGCAGCGGGCUGCUUGCUGCGCAUGGGGCCGAGGAGCCGAGGCAGGGGCUGGCUGCAGCGUCUCGGCUGCGCAUGAGGCCGAGGAGCCGAGGCCAGCCCCAGAAGUCGCUGCUGCUGGUGCAGGUCGGCUGCAGUGGAGCAACCAAGGAGAAGACUAACGUACCGUCAUUCCGGGCCCUCCUUCUAGCGCCAUUCUGUUACGGUAAGUAACUUUUUAAGCCGUGGCCUCGGGGCCGUCGCGGCUUGGUUCGGGUCCGGAAGGCGGGGAUCUCCGCGGGGGCACUCCUCGAGCCCGCUGAAUCUCUGAAGGUGGGGAUCUCCGAAGGCUUCGCACCUGCACAAAGGUCGGGUCGGGGUGCUCGACCCGACCCCUCCGACGAUCAAGUUAGCGACGUGGAGAGGGUGGUGGAAGAGGG
rnacentral:lncRNA from 1 species